CCUACGGGGGGCAGCAGUGGGGAAUAUUGGGCAAUGGGCGCAAGCCUGACCCAGCAACGCCGCGUGAAGGAAGAAGGCUUUCGGGUUGUAAACUUCUUUUAAGGGGGAAGAGCAGAAGACGGUACCCCUUGAAUAAGCCACGGCUAACUAAGUGCCAGCAGCCGCGGUAAUACGUAGGUGGCAAGCGUGGUCCGGAUUUACUGGGUGGAAAGGGAGUGCAGGCGGUGAGACAAGUCAGAUGUGAAAUCCACGGGCUCAACCCGGGAACUGCAUUUGAAACUGUUUCCCUUGAGUGUCGGAGAGGUAACCGGAAUUCCCUGUGUAGCGGUGAAAUGCGUAGAUAUCAGGAAGAACACCAGUGGCGAAGGCGGAUUACUGGACGAUAACUGACGGUGAGGCGCGAAAGCGUGGGGAGCAAACAGGAUUAGAUACCCGUGUAGUC
rnacentral:rRNA from 1 species